rnacentral:rRNA from 1 species
GACGAACGCUGGCGGGGGGCCUAACACAUGCAAGUCGAACGGAAAGGGCCCGUCUUUGUUGGGAGCGCGGCGGGCGGACGGGUGACACACACGUAAGUUGCCUUUCCCUGGCUGUUGGACAAUCUCAAGGAAGCUGGGUUCAUAACCGUAAAUAGAUCCGGCUGGUUUGUUGGGGUUGGAAAGGUUCGGCGGUUGGGGAUGGGCUCGCGGCUUAUCAGCUGGUUUGGGGGGUAGUGGCUUACCAAGGCUUUGACGGGUAGCCGGCCUGAGAGGGUGACCGGCCACAUUGGGACUGAGAUACGGCCCAGACUCCUACGGGAGGCAGCAGUGUGGAAUAUUGCACAAUGGGCGGAAGCCUGAUGCAGCACCGCCGCGUGCGGGAUGACGGCCUUCGGUUUGUAAACCGCUUUCGCCUGUGACGAAGCGUGAGUGACGGUAAUGGGUAAAGAAGCACCGGCUAACUACGUG